rnacentral:tmRNA from 1 species
GGGGUUGUACUGGUUUCGACAGGAGUUUUGAACGUAUAGUAGCCAUCCGUGGACCCAGGCCACGUAAAAACGGGGAAAUUUUAAACAUAAACGCAGAAGAUAAUUACGCGUACGCUGCCUAAUUAGGCGGCUGUCAGGAUAGGGCGUCCCGCAACCCUAACACCGGCAUCGAAAAAGCGGGAAACUCCUUCGCCUAAGCUUUGCGGUGGAGGAAAAUUUAUGAAGCUACCGAAGUGACUUGCCCGUCUGUAGGCAGGCCGCCUGGGGAAUCAAUAUAUGCAGACUGUGAUGGAAGAAGCUGUACCGGAUGGGCUUUUGGACGGGGGUUCGAUUCCCCCCAGCUCCA